rnacentral:rRNA from 1 species
UUGACCUCGGAUCAGGUAGGAAUACCCGCUGAACUUAAGCAUAUCAAUAAGCGGAGGAAAAGAAACCAACAGGGAUUGCCCCAGUAACGGCGAGUGAAGCGGCAACAGCUCAAAUUUGAAAUCUGGCCCCCGGGUCCGAGUUGUAAUUUGUAGAGGAUGCUUUUUGGUGAGGUACCUUCCGAGUUCCCUGGAACGGGACGCCAUAGA